GACGAACGCUGGCGGCAUGCCUAACACAUGCAAGUCGAACGAGACCUUCGGGUCUAGUUGCGCACGGGUGCUUGACGCGGGGGAACCUGCACGUAGGUUCGGUAUCACUCACCGAGGGGGGUCCUAAUACCGGAUAAUGUCUUCGGACCAAAGAUUUAUCGCCUUUGGGUGGGCCCGCGUUGGUUUAGCGAGUUGGUAGGGUAAAAGCAUGCCAAGGCGUCGAUCCAUAGCUGGUAUGAGAGGAUGCUCAGCCACACUGGGAAUGCGACACGGCCCAGACUCCUACGCGAGGCAGCAGUGGGGAACACUGGAGACUGGGCGAAAGUGUGAUCAAGCAAUGCCGCGUGAGUGAUGAAGGCCUUAGGGUUGUAAAGCCCUCUGACACGGGACGAUAAUGACAGUACCGGGAGAAGAAGCUCCGGCUAACUCCGUG
rnacentral:rRNA from 1 species